ACAUGCAAGUCGAACGAAGUAGCAAUACUUAGUGGCAGACGGGUGAGUAACAUGUAGGUAUCUACCCUUUGGCCUGGAAUAACACGAGGAAACUUGUGCUAAUACCGGAUAAGUCUUUACAGAGAAAGCUUUAUGCACCAUUGGAUGAGCCUGCACUAGAUUAGUUUGUUGGUGGGGUAAUGGCCUACCAAGACUGUGAUCUAUAGCUGAUUUGAGAGGAUGAUCAGCCACAUUGGGACUGAGACACGGCCCAAACUCCUACGGGAGGCAGCAGUGGGGAAUCUUGCACAAUGGAGGAAACUCUGAUGCAGCGAUGCCGCGUGAGUGAAGAAGGCCUUUGGGUUGUAAAGCUCUUUCGUCGGGGAAGAAAAUGACUGUACCCGAAUAAGAAGGUCCGG
rnacentral:rRNA from 1 species